rnacentral:rRNA from 1 species
UAGGGAAUCUUCCGCAAUGGGCGAAAGCCUGACGGAGCAACGCCGCGUGAGUGAUGAAGGUCUUCGGAUCGUAAAACUCUGUUAUUAGGGAAGAACAAAUGUGUAAGUAACUAUGCACGUCUUGACGGUACCUAAUCAGAAAGCCACGGCUAACUACGUGCCAGCAGCCGCGGUAAUACGUAGGUGGCAAGCGUUAUCCGGAAUUAUUGGGCGUAAAGCGCGCGUAGGCGGUUUUUUAAGUCUGAUGUGAAAGCCCACGGCUCAACCGUGGAGGGUCAUUGGAAACUGGAAAGCUUGAGUGCAGAAGAGGAAAGUGGAAUUCCAUGUGUAGCGGUGAAAUGCGCAGAGAUAUGGGGGAACACCAGUGGCGAUGGCGACUUUCUGGUCUGUAACUGACGCUGAUGUGCGAAAGCGUGGGGAUCAAACAGG